rnacentral:rRNA from 1 species
ACUCCUACGGGAGGCAGCAGUCGGGAAUAUUGCACAAUGGGCGAAAGCCUGAUGCAGCGACGCCGCGUGCGGGAUGAAUGCCUUCGGGUUGUAAACCGCUUUCAGCAGGGACGAAAUUGACGGUACCUGCAGAAGAAGGCCCGGCCAACUACGUGCCAGCAGCCGCGGUAAUACGUAGGGGCCAAGCGUUGUCCGGAAUUAUUGGGCGUAAAGAGCUCGUAGGCGGUUCGGUAAGUCGACUGUGAAAUCUCCACGCUCAACGUGGAGAGGUCAGUUGAUACUGCCGUGACUAGAGUCCGGUAGAGGAGUGUGGAAUUCCCGGUGUAGCGGUGAAAUGCGCAGAGAUCGGGAGGAACACCCGUAGCGAAGGCGGCACUCUGGGCCGUGACUGACGCUGAGGAGCGAAAGCGUGGGGAGCAAACAGGAUUAGAUACCCUGGUAGUCCACGCCGUAAACGUUGGGCACUAGGUGUGGGACUUUAUCGACGGGUUCCGUGCCGUAGCUAACGCAUUAAGUGCCCCGCCUGGGGAGUACGGCCGCAAGGCUAAAACUCAAAUGAAUUGACGG